rnacentral:lncRNA from 1 species
ACUAUCAUUUGAGGAAAUGGUUGGGGAAUUUGACAUUAAAAGGCUGGACCUCUCACCAAGAAAGACUGAGAACCACUGCUCAGGAUGAUUCUUUUCCAGUUGCAACAUCGAGCCAGAGAGUGCUUACCUUUUGAGGGAAUCACAGAGUGCUGAGGUUUACUGAAUGCAAACUAUAUACCAAGCACUGAGCUACUUAAUCAGAUCACAGUACUACAAAGGCAAGUUUGUCUUGGCCAUCAGGAAAAUUCUACUAUUGACAGACACUCAAAAAAGAUAUUACACAGUCCAUUGAUUAAAGCAUCUGCUUUUCCCACUCCUUCAGGGAAGAAGUAAAACACAAGAUAAAUCAUCCAUAGAUUUUAUUUCCUGAAUAAGAAGGAAGCUUUCAAAGAAGGGGAUUUAAAGAAGCAGGUCUUCAAAAUAGGUGGAAGAAACAUGAGUCAGUGUGGUAUUAUGAAAGAACUUCAGAUUGCAAACUUCUUAAAGGCCAGAACCAUAUGUUCUCAUAAGUGACAGCAGUAAUGAGGGAAGAUGAUGUUCAUCUUAAGUAUAAAGCCAACUGAGUUGGAAACCAAGUUUCUUCAUGUACCAUGCCCACUUUCAUCCUUAUACUUUCCUUAUCUGUGUCUUUUAUUAAAAAAAAAUCAAUACACAGAUCUUAC